AUGCAAGUACUGGUGUUUCCAGAACGCGCACUUGAGCUCGAUGGAUCGUUUCAGUUCUUCGCCUUGGGGAUGCUCGGACACGUGCGUGCGUCUUCUGCGACUGUUGGAUGGCGCAGACGCAGUGGCGGAAGAAGGCACGACAAGCGAUGAGGGGGGAAAAUCCCACAGAAGAUAGGUCACUAACACUUGUAGGAGGGCCCGGUUGUUUGCGAGAAGAAACGCCACAUCUUCUGGGCGGAUCUGCUGUCCAAGAUCAUGAAGAUGGUCCAAUUUUCCUUGAAUGAACACCAGCUCAAGGGGGCACCUGGCUCGGGUUUCUUUUUUGAACUCGCUCGCGCGUG
rnacentral:ribozyme from 1 species